rnacentral:rRNA from 1 species
GACGAACGCUGGCGGCGUGCCUAAUACAUGCCAGUCGAACGCAUUUUCUUUCACCGUAGCUUGCUCCACCGAAAGAAAAUGAGUGGCUAACGGGGGAGUAACACGUUGGUAACGUGCCCAUCAGCGGGGGAUAACACUAUGCAACAUGUGCUAAUACCGCAUAAUUCCAUUUACCGCAUGCUAGAUGGAUGAAGGGCGCCUUUGCGCCACUGAUGGAUGUACCCGCGGUGCAUUCGCUAGUUGGUGGGGUAACGGCCUACCAAGGCUGCGAUGCAUAGCCGACCUGAGAGGGUGAUCGGCCACACUGGGACUGAGACACGGCCCAGACUCCUACGGGAGGCAGCAGUAGGGAAUCUUCGGCAAUGGACACAAGUCUGACCGAGCAACGCCGCGUGAGUGAAGAAGGUUCUCGGAUCGUAAAACUCUGUUGUUAGAGAAGAACAAGGAUGAGGGUAGAAAGUUCAGCCCUUGACGGUAUCUAACCAGAAAGCCACGGCUAACUACGUG